rnacentral:misc_RNA from 1 species
AUGAAAAAAUUAUUAUCCUAAAACUUUUUUUUUAGGUUUGAGAAGAAAUUUGAUUUCUUAAAAAUCAUUUUCUUUUCAAAACUAAAAACCUUCAAAACCUUUUAUGUGAACCAUAAAAAAAAAACAUACUUUUUAAAGUGUAUAUAAAAAAUGGGAAGAAAGAGAGGGGUAAGAGAAAAAGAAGAGAAAUGGUUUAAUAUCAUUUUCUUUUUCUUCUCCUUUUUCCUCUCCUUUCUUUUUUUUUUUAAAAGCUUUAAAAAGAAAAAAAAAAAACAUUUUCUUAUUUUAUUUUUCUUAUAUUUUUUAUAAAUAAUAAGAUUGCCAAAAGCAUUUUAUUGUUUUAAAAAGUUAUUUUGUAUUAAAAAAAAAA